GGAGGGGAAACCCGCUCUCGCCUCCUGGUGGUCGCCGACUCGCAGUCCGCAGGAUGACUCAGGGCAGCCCUGACCACAGUUCCGCCGCCAUCGGCCCUAGCCUGCGGAAUUGGGCUCGCCCCGGGACGAUAACAGAGCUCUGCCGGGGGCUGGAGGCACUGACCGGGUGACCAGAGACCCAGAGACCAGACCCCCUCCACGGCGCCCGGGAUUUCGGGGACGGCUUCUCCCAUCGCAAGUUUCAACAGAAAAUGAGAAAUAUCCCCCGACGAUUGGCUGAAAACAUGCAGCAACCACUAUUUUCUUCCUGCCCCUCGUUGAUGAGAGCAUUCGAAGUGACCUCAGCAGGGCAUCCAGGUCAGUUUCUGGAAGACUUGUGUGUGUGAUGAAUGAAUAUCUGGUUUUGUCUCUGCUGGGCCUGUGUGCCUGGAAAGGAAUUGUUUUGGCCUAGGAUCAUCCAGGCCCGGUGCAGUGGCUCAUGUCUGUAAUCCCAGCACUUUGGGAGGCCAAGGCAGGUGGAUCACCUGAGGUCAGGAGUUCGAAACCAGCCUGGCCAACAUGGCAAAACCCCAUCUCUACUAAAAAUACAAAA
ensembl:lncRNA SNHG20 small nucleolar RNA host gene 20